UUGACCUCGAAUCAGGUAGGA
rnacentral:rRNA from 7 species